rnacentral:rRNA from 1 species
AAGCCAUGCGAGUCAUUGUAGCAAUACAAGGCAGACGGCUCAGUAACGCGUAGUCAACCUACCCUAUGGACGGGAAUAACCUCGGGAAACUGAGAAUAAUGCCCGAUAGAACAUUAUGCCUGGAAUGGUUUAUGUUCCAAAUGAUUUAUCGCCAUAGGAUGGGACUGCGGCCUAUCAGUUUGUUGGUGAGGUAAUGGCCCACCAAGACUAUUACAGGUACGGGCUCUGAGAGGAGUAGCCCGGAGAUGGGUACUGAGACACGGACCCAGGCCCUAUGGGGCGCAGCAGGCGAGAAAACUUUGCAAUGUGCGAAAGCACGACAAGGUUAAUCCGAGUGGUUUCUGCUAAAGGAACCUUUUAUCAGUCCUAGAAACACUGAUGAAUAAGGGGUGGGCAAGUUCUGGUGUCAGCCGCCGCGGUAAAACCAGCACCUCAAGUGGUCAGGAUGAUUAUUGGGCCUAAAGCAUCCGUAGCCUGCUUUGUUAGUUUUCGGUUAAAUCCAUGUGCUUAACAUAUGGGCUGCCGGGAAUACUGCAAAGCUAGGGAGUGGGAGAGGUAGACGGUACUCGGUAGGAAGGGGUAAAAUCCUUUGAUCUAUUGAUGACCACCUGUGGCGAAGGCGGUCUACCAGAACACGUCCGACGGUGAGGGAUGAAAGCUGGGGGAGCAAACCGGAUUAGAUACCCGGGUAGUCCCAGCUGUAAACCAUGCAAACUCAGUGAUGCAUUGGCUUGUGGCCAAUGCAGUGCUGCAGGGAAGCCGUUAAGUUUGCCGCCUGGGAAGUACGUACGCAAGUAUGAAACUUAAAGGAAUUGGCGGGGGAGCACCACAAGGGG